AAUAGAUACCCCGGUAGUCCACGCCGUAAACGAUGAGUGCUAAGUGUUAGGGGGUUUCCGCCCCUUAGUGCUGCAGCUAACGCAUUAAGCACUCCGCCUGGGGAGUACGGUCGCAAGACUGAAACUCAAAGGAAUUGACGGGGGCCCGCACAAGCGGUGGAGCAUGUGGUUUAAUUCGAAGCAACGCGAAGAACCUUACCAGGUCUUGACAUCCCAUUGACCACUAUAGAGACAUAGUUUUCUCUUCGGGGACAACGGUGACAGGUGGUGCAUGGUUGUCGUCAGCUCGUGUCGUGAGAUGUUGGGUUAAGUCCCGCAACGAGCGCAACCCUUGUUCUUAGUUGCCAUCAUUUAGUUGGGCACUCUAAGGAGACUGCCGGUGACAAACCGGAGGAAGGUGGGGAUGACGUCAAAUCAUCAUGCCCCUUAUGACCUGGGCUACACACGUGCUACAAUGGACGGUACAAACGGUUGCCAACCCGCGAGGGGGAGCUAAUCCGAUAAAACCGUUCUCAGUUCGGAUUGUAGGCUGCAACUCGCCUACA
rnacentral:rRNA from 1 species